GGCCCGUUGGUCAAGCGGCUAAGACACCGCCCUUUCACGGCGGUAACGCGGGUUCGACUCCCGCACGGGUCACCA
rnacentral:tRNA from 1 species